UAUCUGAAGAAUGCCAGAGUUCAUCUUGUUGGAGGAUUAAGGAAUCUUUCCACAAUUCUUGAGAACUUGUAUAAGCAAGGAGUCCUCCAUGAUGAAGAGGUCAGCAAAAUAAAGGCAGAGAAAGAUGACUAUGAUAGAACCAGAGCAAUACUGUGUUCAGUCACUAAAAAAGGUGAAGCAGCCUGCUAUCAGUUACUGAAGAUUAUUUACCAAACGAGGAAAAGAACCUUGGAGAGGCCCGAUCCUGUCUUCAAGAACAGUCAUGAAGCUUCAACUGAGGCUAAAAAGUUUGACCUGAACCACUGGAUCAGCUGCUUUUCUUUCACAGAAGAUGUAGAAAUGGAUGCAAAUUACAUGCAAGGGCCAAGGCCGUGCCACAGAUAUCAAUCAAAGUUGAAAUCAAAAG